UAACCAUGGUAAGGACAUAAAUUCAAAAGGUCCCUAAAUAUUUCCCAAGCUUGGCACAAAAUCUUACUUUCUUUUUGUGAAAAAUUUCAAAUUUGUCUUUUGAGAGC